rnacentral:misc_RNA from 1 species
UCUCCGUUGGUGAACCAGCGGAGGGAUCAUUACAGGACUCGCAAGACUCCUACAACCCAGUGAACUUAACUAUAAGCACGUUGCUUCGGCGGGUGUCUCGGAGGGGGUUCUCCCUCCCCGAGACGCUAAACCCGCCGGCAGCCUACUAUACUCUGUCUCUUUGCGUUGGCAUCUCGAGUACAAUCAAACAAGUUAAAACUUUCAACAACGGAUCUCUUGGUUCUG